rnacentral:rRNA from 1 species
AGAAGAUCCCUUAUAAUAAUAAAGAAAGUUAAGUUUCGCUCUUAGAAGUUUGUAUCUCGUGUGUGGUAGUAGUUAGGAUUAAAAGCCUAACUAGCUAUACGCACGUAGUCGUAACUGAAAGGUUGAUCGACCACAGUGGGCCUGAAGAAAGCCCAUGACGAUUGUCACAGCAGUGAGGAAUAUUGGUCAAUAGCCUAACGGCUGAACCAGCAACUUGGAGGAAUGUAUAGCAAUAGCUACUUGCAUCUUUGUAAAUAUGAUGCAAGAUCGACUAUGUCGAAUAAAAUUCUAGGUAGAAUUAUGAUAAUGACAUUGUCUGCCUAUGUGUCUUGACCAAAUUACGUGCCAGCCGUCGCGGUAAUACGUAGAAGACUAGUGUUAUUCAUGUUUAAUCGGUUUAAAGGGUACCUAGACGGUAAAUCAAGCCUACAAAUAAAAGAAAUGAAGGGACUAAUUUGCUAGAGUUACUUGUGAGGGGGUAUUAAAGUACUGCUGGUGUAGAGAUGAAAUUCUGUCAUACCUCUUUUCAAUAGAAAAAUAAUGGCACAGGUAUAGGCGAAGGCAUCCCCUUAUGUGAUAACUGACGUUGAGGGACGAAGGCUUUGUGUAGCGAACAGGAUUAGAUACCCCAGUAGUCAAAGCAGAAAAUGAUGAAUGUCAUAGAUUAGAUAAAUAAGUUUAUUCUAUAAAUGAAAGUGUAAGCAUUCCACCUCAAGAGUAAUUUGGCAACAUUGGAACUGAAAUCAUUAGACCGUUUCUGAAACCAGUAGUGAAGUAUGUUGUUUAAUUUGAUGAUCCGCAAAAAACCUUACCACAAUUUGAAUAUUUAUAUUUUUUUUAUUGUUUUAUUUUUAAGGCAAUAAGAUAUAUUUACAAGCGUUGCACGGCUGUCUUCAGUUAAUGUCGCGAGACUCUGGUUAGUUCCAUGAAAUUAACGUAAACCCUUACUUUAUUUUUAUAUAGAGUAGUUCCCCGCUAUAUUGGAUAUGAUAAC